rnacentral:rRNA from 1 species
ACACGCUUGAUAAGCGUGGGGUC